GACGAACGCUGGCGGCGUGCUUAACACAUGCAAGUCGAACGGAAAGGCCCUGCUUGCAGGGUACUCGAGUGGCGAACGGGUGAGUAACACGUGGGUGAUCUGCCCUGCACUUCGGGAUAAGCCUGGGAAACUGGGUCUAAUGCCGGAUAGGAGCCAUUUUUAGUGUGAUGGUUGGAAAGUUUUUUCGGUGUAGGAUGAGCUCGCGGCCUAUCAGCUUGUUGGUGGGGUAAUGGCCUACCAAGGCGGCGACGGGUAGCCGGCCUGAGAGGGUGGACGGCCACAUUGGGACUGAGAUACGGCCCAGACUCCUACGGGAGGCAGCAGUGGGGAAUAUUGCACAAUGGGCGCAAGCCUGAUGCAGCGACGCCGCGUGGGGGAUGACGGCCUUCGGGUUGUAAACUCCCUUCGCUAGGGACGAAGCUUUUUGUGACGGUACCUAGAUAAGAAGCACCGGCUAACUACGU
rnacentral:rRNA from 1 species